CCUACGGGGGGCAGCAGUGAGGAAUAUUGCGCAAUGGGCGAAAGCCUGACCGAGCGACGCCGCGUGCGGGAUGAAGGCCCUCGGGUUGUAAACCGCUGUCAGCGAGGAGGAAACUCCAGGGGGAUCACCCCCUGGUUUGACCUAUUCGCAGAGGAAGGACGGGCUAAGUUCGUGCCAGCAGCCGCGGUAAUACGAACCGUCCGAACGUUAUUCGGAAUCACUGGGCUUAAAGGGUGCGUAGGCGGCCCGGAAAGGUGGGUGUAAAAUCCCUCGGCUUAACCGAGGAAGGGCGCUCAAAACUCCCGGGCUAGAGGGAGACAGAGGUGAGCGAAACUUAGGGUGGAGCGGUAAAAUGCGUUGAUAUCCUAAGGAACACCGGUGGCGAAAGCGGCUCACUGGGUCUUUUCUGACGCUGAGGCACGAAAGCUAGGGGAGCGAACGGGAUUAGAUCCCCCGGUAGU
rnacentral:rRNA from 1 species